rnacentral:rRNA from 1 species
UACGUAGGGCGCAAGCGUUUGUCCGGAAUUAUUGGGCGUAAAGAGCUCGUAGGUGGCGUGUCGCGUCUGCCGUGAAAGCCCAUGGCUUAACUGUGGGUCUGCGGUGGAUACGGGCAGGCUGGAGGCUGGUAGGGGCAAGCGGAAUUCCUGGUGUAGCGGUGAAAUGCGCAGAUAUCAGGAGGAACACCGGUGGCGAAGGCGGGAUCCUGGGCCAGUACUGACGCUGAGGAGCGAAAGCGUGGGGAGCAAACAGG